AUACGGGGGGAGCAAGCGUUGUCCGGAAUCAUUGGGCGUAAGGGGCACGUAGGCGGUUUCUUAAGUCGAAUGUGAAAUCUCACGGCUCAACCGUGAAACUGCGUUCGAAACUAAGUGACUUGAGUUUGGGAGAGGUGUACGGAAUUCCUGGUGUAGCGGUGGAAUGCGUAGAUAUCAGGAAGAACACCAAUGGCGAAGGCAGUACACUGGCCUGAAACUGACGCUGAGGUGCGAAAGCGUGGGGAGCAAACAGGAUUAGAAACCCCAGUAGUCC
rnacentral:rRNA from 1 species